UUAUCAAUAACGCUUAAUUUCGGCCGGAAACGGCCGGGAGCGGGGGAACCACAGCGGCCGCCUGGAAUGGAAGCCGCCGGGGUGAAUCUUUCCGGUACGGUAAGUACCGGAAGGUAGGGCGACUCUCACGCCCGAAUCCGACAGCUAACCUCGUCAGCGUAACGGGAGAGAGACA
rnacentral:sRNA from 1 species